CCUGCUUUCAUUCUGGAUGGGCAGAGUGUAAGACCAGGCCAGGGGGCUAAAAGGAGUGAGGCAGGAGAAGACCCUAAAAGCCACUGAGGAAUCAAAAUGAGGUGCGAGCAUGAAAUACCUGCGUGAAGCUGCGAGGACCAUGCCUGAUGCAGACGAGGCAGGAGCUCAAUCAAUGCUGGAACAUCAAUAGCAAAUCUCAGCUUCCGUCUGGAAGCUGGCAGCAGCAGCAGCAGCCAGAUGGCCUCUCUUGGAAGCUGUACACUGAAGCCUGUACUUUCCAAGUUCAACUGGCCCCUACUUUUGAAGAUCUCUCUUGGAUACCAGGAAUGGAGCUUUAUGGACGAUCUCACAACUAGCAAUUCACAAUGAAGUUCUGGGGUACGUGAUAAAAGAAGAACUUCAGCUGAAUUAAAUUUAAAGGAGUUUGAGCAAUGAAUAAUUCGCGAAUUGGGCAGCCCCCAGAAUCACAGCAGAUUCACAAAGACUCCAGUGCAACCACGUGGUAGAAGAAGAUUUACAGACAAAAAAAAAAAAAAAAUGGAAAUGACAUACAGAAAUUGGAAGGAGAGUACAGAACUGCCGGUUGGUUACAGUAAGCAGUACAAUCAAUGGAUCUUUGAUGGCUGAGACAGGUUGAAAUGGCAAAAAGACAACAGCACCACUUUUGAAAACGAC
rnacentral:lncRNA from 1 species